UACGGAGGGUGCAAGCGUUGUUCGGAAUUAUUGGGCGUAAAGCGCGUGCAGGCGGCUUGGUAAGUCAGAUGUGAAAGCCCUGAGCUCAACUCAGGAAGUGCAUUUGAAACUACCAUGCUUGAGUAUGGGAGAGGAGAGUGGAAUUCCCAGUGUAGAGGUGAAAUUCGUAGAUAUUGGGAGGAACACCCGUGGCGUAGGCGACUCUCUGGACCAAUACUGACGCUGAGACGCGAAAGCGUGGGGAG
rnacentral:rRNA from 1 species